CUAAGGAGCACCGAUACCGGAUUCCCCCGUGCCUUACUGGAUGUGAGGGUUGUUCACGGUUGGGAGAGUGCGCCGGGGCCUGUAGUGGGUUUCCCGGUGGGUGCGCAACAACAAACGUUUUCGCGUGAAGUGACGUCGUGAAGUGACGUUGAGUGGCUUUGCGUGGAGGGAUUGCCAGACACACUGUUGGGUCCUGAGACAGCAGACCCGUGGGUUUUGCCUGGCUGUGAUGGCUGGGUGGGGCCGGCCCUCUUGUUGGGGGUGGGUUGUUGUCGCCUCAUCUUGGUGGUGGGGUGUGGUGUUUGAGUUGUGGAUAGUGGUUGCGAGCAUCCAAGCGAUGGCCGUGUGUUCCUGCUCUGGGGGGUUUCCUUCGGGGUGGGGGUGGUUGUUGUUUGGUUGUGCAAUUUUGUUGUUUGAACACAUUUUUGGUUUUUGUG
rnacentral:misc_RNA from 1 species